rnacentral:rRNA from 1 species
AGAGUUUGAUCCUGGCUCAGAUUGAACGCUGGCGGCGUGCUUAACACAUGCAAGUCGAGCGGUAACAGGUGUAGCAAUACAUGCUGACGAGCGGCGAACGGGUGAGUAAUGCUUCGGAAUCUACCCAGUAGUGGGGAAUAACUAACCGAAAGGUUAGCUAAUACCGCAUACGUCCUACGGGAGAAAGUGGGGGUCGCAAG